UACGAAGGGGGCUAGCGUUGCUCGGAAUCACUGGGCGUAAAGCGCACGUAGGCGGCUUUUUAAGUCAGAGGUGAAAUCCUGGAGCUCAACUCCAGAACUGCCUUUGAUACUGGAGAGCUUGAGUCCGGGAGAGGUGAGUGGAACUGCGAGUGUAGAGGUGAAAUUCGUAGAUAUUCGCAAGAACACCAGUGGCGAAGGCGGCUCACUGGCCCGGAACUGACGCUGAGGUGCGAAAGCGUGGGGAGCAAACAGG
rnacentral:rRNA from 1 species